rnacentral:lncRNA from 1 species
GCACCCAUAGCGUAUGGAAAUCCCAGGCCAGGGACUGAGUCUAAGCCGCAGCUGUGACCUACACUAGAGCAGCGUCAACGAUGGAUGCUACAGUCAGAUUCUUAACCCACUUGCCAUGGCAGGAAUUCCCAAAUCAUCCUUUUUAUUUUUUUAGGGCUGCACCCACAGCAUAUGGAAGUUCCUGGGCUAGGGGUUGCAGUAGAGCCACAGCUGCCGGCCUACACCAUAGCCACAGAAUGUCGGAUCUGAGCCGCAUCUUCGAUCUACACCAUAGCUCAUGGCAACGCUGGAUUGUGAACCCACUAAGCAAGGCCAGGGAUUGAACCUGAAUCCUCAUGGAUACUAGUCAGGCUCAAUAACGCUGAGCUACAUUUGGAGCUCCCAAAUCAUCUAAUUUUUAAUGCAAUACUGUGAGCUGAAGAGAGCAAAUAUUUUUACACUCAAACCAAGGUUUAAUUAGCUAAAUUCUGAACCAAAGUGCUCUGUUCUCUGAGUCCUGUUUUUUUCAUUUGUAAAUUCCUCUCUAUAUCAGUCAGCUCAGGUGGCUAUCAAAAAAAUAUCAGAUUGGGUGUCUUAAAUCAUGGAAAUAUGUUUCUCAGAGUUCCAGGAAGUCCUAGAUUAAGGUGUCAGCUGAUGAUAUUCUUUUUUUUGUCAUUGUCACCUGCGGCACAUGGAGGUUCCCAGGCUAGGGGUUGAAUUGGAGGUACAGCUGCAGCCUACACCACAGCCACAGCAACACCAGAUCCAAGCCACGUCUGCGACCUACACCACAGCUCAUGGUAAUACUGGAUCCUUAACCUACUGAGUGAGGACAGGGAUCGAAUCCACAACCUCAUGGUCAGAUUCGUUUCCGCUGUGCCACAACGGGGACUCCAGCUGAUGAUAUUCUUGAUGAGGGUUCUCUCCUGGUUUGUAGAAGGCCACCUUCUCUGUCCUCUCUGAGAUGGCAGACCCCACCAUCAAGACCUCAUCUAAAUUUAAAUACCACCACAUGAUAAGUAGAGGUUUCACAGGGGUUGGCAGGGGGACACAAUCCAGCCCAUGGCACUUUUCAAGUUGUGGAGAGGACCACACAGUAUUUUCGGGGAAGGAUCUCAAAAACCGGGCAAGGUAGGCAGUGCACAAAACACUCAGCAAAGAACCAGGGAAAAGGAAAUGUGGGCCAGAAGCCACCAAUCAACUAGAAGGACCUAGUCAAGAGGUGCAAACUGGCAAUUCAUAUUUCUACUUUCUUUGUACUCUAACAGGUACCAGUGGUGAAGCUUGAAGGAUGUAAGUGUUAAGUGGUAGCAAAUACAUGACCAUGACUGUGGGGGGGGGGGAGGGGUUCAUUAUUAAUGUUUUCUCAUUCAUGAAUAAGAAGCAGUCUCCCAUUCCUGGCAUCUGUCCCUACAUUGGAGCAGCCUUCUUUUGGUGUCCCCAACUUUCAGUCUAUCUGCCUUUAUAAUCUUGUCCAAGGAUGUUUCAUUGGCAUAAACAUACCCCACUUAUUCCCCUACCAGUGGACUCAGAGGUCUGGGAAAGAACAGUGUGUAGGCACCAUUUCUGUGACCAUCUUCCUUGUGGAUGGGGUUCCAUACCAGGCACUUCUUGUGCUGGUCCCUCUCCUUGGCUACUAUCACACCCCUACCAAACAGAUGGCUUCCUGCUUGCUGUGGUCCCCAGGGGAACCCUGAGGCUGCUCUGAUGCAGUGGAUCAUAAGGGUGACACGAAGGCCAAGCCGUAUGUCACCAAUAGUACUUCAAGCUCAUUCUUUUCCUUUCAAAUUCCAGAACUUUUUAAAAAAAAUCAAUUCUUUCUUAUCAUCUUCUGAAACAAAUACUGCAUUGUAAGUCAACGAUACUCUAAUAAAAUAAAAAAAAGUCAAAGAGGAUAUCAUUAAUUUUAAAGAGAAUUUAUAUUAAUCGAAACCCUGCUACAAAUAUCAUAAUUUAAAAAAUAUUCCAGAACUUUAAAUGGAUCUGCAACCCUAUAACUCUUACUUCCUUCCAAUGACCGUGCCCCUCCAACUUAGGUCCCCAAAUGGUGAGCACUCCUUCAGUAUUUUACUUUAUUUUGAUCUAUUUGCAAUAUACCUGGUAAGAAAUUCCCAAAAGUUUCUAGACCCCAGUCAAUACUCUUCCUUAAGUUUCUGCUCCGUUGCAUCUUUUACUCUGUCCUGCUGAGCAUAUUGAAAGGAGGCUCCCAUAUUUCUAGCUGUGCAUCUGUGUGUGCCCUCAGCAUCUAAUACAGAGCUUAGGCAUAGAAGUUUGAUGGCUAAUAAAUGCUUUGUUGGCUUGAAAUAAUACUUUGAUUUCAAAAAUUUCCUCUUCUUUUUUCUCUCCAUUUCCAUUUUGAUCAGCCAAGUUCCCCUGUACUAGAUCUAUACAAGUCAGUUCAUUGUUAUCAUGUCAAUAAAGAAAGCUGUAUUUCCAUUCCUAUAGUUUAACAUGGUGAAUGGAACUUAAUAGCAGCAGUUGUAUGUAAACACAGCUAAAGUUAGGUAGGACAGUGAGUGGCACUGAACAAGACAACUACGGUUACGGAUACAUAUACCGGAAAUGGAAGAUUCCACACAAGCACAUGGGUAUUUACAAGCUGCUACUGUUCAUACUUGAUGCAUUCAACCAGUGAUGGAUAUUACCAGAAACAUAUAUAUAAGAAAAUCCCUCUUAGUAAAUAUCACAUAAACAGACUUUAAAGAUGUUAAUUGAUGUAAUUGGAGCAGAAAUUGCUAAAAUGACAUUCAAUUGACUCUCCUUUGCAAUAAGCCCCACUGAAGGAAUAAAAGGGACUGCUAAGAGUACAAUUAAAUUCCUGUCAGGUCUAUGUUUUAGUUCCUUUAAGGUUACCAGUAUUUUAUUUAAUU